CAUCAUGGCCCUUACGACCAGGGCUACACACGUGCUACAAUGGCGCAUACAAAGAGAAGCGACCUCGCGAGAGCAAGCGGACCUCAUAAAGUGCGUCGUAGUCCGGAUUGGAGUCUGCAACUCGACUCCAUGAAGUCGGAAUCGCUAGUAAUCGUGGAUCAGAAUGCCACGGUGAAUACGUUCCCGGGCCUUGUACACACCGCCCGUCACACCAUGGGAGUGGGUUGCAAAAGAAGUAGGUAGCUUAACCUUCGGGAGGGCGCUUACCACUUUGUGAUUCAUGACUGGGGUGAAGUCGUAACAAGGUAACCGUAGGGGAACCUGCGGUUGGAUCACCUCCUUA
rnacentral:rRNA from 1 species